rnacentral:rRNA from 1 species
GACGGGGCCGCACAAGCGGUGGAGUAUGUGGUUUAAUCGAUGCAACGCGAAGAACCUACCUGGUCUUGACAUCCCGGAGACCCUUAGGAAACUAGGGGGUGCUUCCAUCUGGAAGAAUCUGGAGACAGGUGCUGCAUGGCUGUCGUCAGCUCGUGUCGUGAGAUGUUGGGUUAAGUCCCGCAACGAGCGCAACCCUUGCCUUUAGUUGCCAGCAGUUCGGCUGGGCACUCUAAAGGGACUGCCGGUGUUAAACCGGAGGAAGGUGGGGAUGACGUCAAGUCCUCAUGGCCUUUAUGACCAGGGCUACACACGUACUACAAUGGCCGAUACAAAGGGCAGCGACACUGCGAGGUGAAGCCAAUCCCGUAAAAUCGGUCUCAGUCCGGAUUGGAGUCUGCAACUCGACUCCAUGAAGUUGGAAUCGCUAGUAAUCGUGGAUCAGCAUGCCACGGUGAAUACGUUCCCGGGCCUU